UACGUAGGGGGCUAGCGUUGUCCGGAAUCAUUGGGCGUAAAGCGCGUGUAGGCGGUCCGGUAAGUCCGCUGGGAAAGUCGGGGGCUCAACCCUCGGAUGCCGGUGGAAACUGUCGGGCUUGAGUACGGAAGAGGCGAGUGGAAUUCCUGGUGUAGCGGUGGAAUGCGUAGAGAUCCGGAAGAACACCGGUGGCGAAGGCGGUCUGCUGGGAAGUUGCUGACACUGAGGCGCGACAGCGUGGGGAGCAAACAGG
rnacentral:rRNA from 1 species